GGAAUAUUGGUCAAUGGUCGAGAGACUGAACCAGCCAAGUAGCGUGCAGGAUGACGGCCCUAUGGGUUGUAAACUGCUUUUAUGCGGGGAUAAAGUGCGGCACGUGUGUCGUUUUGUAGGUACCGCAUGAAUAAGGACCGGCUAAUUCCGUGCCAGCAGCCGCGGUAAUACGGAAGGUCCGGGCGUUAUCCGGAUUUAUUGGGUUUAAAGGGAGCGCAGGCCGAAGAUUAAGCGUGACGUGAAAUGUCCCGGCUCAACCGGGGAGUUGCGUCGCGAACUGGUUUUCUUGAGUGAGUUCGACGUCAGCGGAAUUCGUGGUGUAGCGGUGAAAUGCUUAGAUAUCACGAAGAACCCCGAUUGCGAAGGCAGCUGACGAGCCCUUAACUGACGCUAAAGCUCGAAAGUGCGGGUAUCGAACA
rnacentral:rRNA from 1 species